rnacentral:rRNA from 1 species
CGGCGGACGGGUGAGUAACACGUGGGUAACCUACCUAUAAGACUGGGACAACUUCGGGAAACCGGAGCUAAUACCGGAUAAGAUAUCGAACCGCAUGGUUCGAUAGUGAAAGAUGGUUUUGCUAUCACUUAUAGAUGGAUCCGCGCCGUAUUAGCUAGUUGGUGAGGUAACGGCUCACCAAGGCAACGAUACGUAGCCGACCUGAGAGGGUGAUCGGCCACACUGGAACUGAGACACGGUCCAGACUCCUACGGGAGGCAGCAGAU